AGAGCGAACGCUGGCGGCAGGCUUAACACAUGCAAGUCGAGCGGGCGUAGCAAUACGUCAGCGGCAGACGGGUGAGUAACGCGUGGGAACGUACCUUUUGGUUCGGAACAACCCAGGGAAACUUGGGCUAAUACCGGAUAAGCCCUUACGGGGAAAGAUUUAUCGCCGAAAGAUCGGCCCGCGUCUGAUUAGCUAGUUGGUGGGGUAAUGGCCCACCAAGGCGACGAUCAGUAGCUGGUCUGAGAGGAUGAUCAGCCACAUUGGGACUGAGACACGGCCCAAACUCCUACGGGAGGCAGCAGUGGGGAAUAUUGGACAAUGGGCGCAAGCCUGAUCCAGCCAUGCCGCGUGAGUGAUGAAGGCCCUAGGGUUGUAAAGCUCUUUUGUGCGGGAAGAUAAUGACGGUACCGGCAAGGAAUAAGCCCCGGCUAACUUCGCGCCAGCAGCCGC
rnacentral:rRNA from 1 species